UUAAAAGAGAUGUUUGGAACAACCACUUCUAAAUGACAAUCUCCUAUGGGGGAAUCUCGUCCAUGAUUUCAGAAGUCCUUGUUGUCUGGUCUGUUUGGCACGAGAUGUAAAAUCGUUAUUGGGGAAACCUCCAUGAUUAUUAUUAAGCAGGGUAUCCCUGUUAUGCCUGUCUCUGUGACGAACCCAUCUAUAGCCUCCCAGGCCAUCUCUUUUCUGUGUGACUCACACGGAUCCUGGUGACCAACUUUAUAGAAUGGGGGGGAGUGUAGUGGGAACGUAGUUAGGGUUAGUUAGGUCACUGUAAGAGGUCACAGGAGAACCAGCCAAUCAGAGAGGAGGAUUCCUAUCACAUGGCCAGGAGGACCAAUCACCGACGAGCAGCAUCGCUUCACGACCAGACUCCAUUGAUUGUACAUGUACUUUUGUAUCAUCCACCGAAAUCCAGGGCCAUCUGGGUAGUGCCAGUGUGUCUGUACAGCUCACGGUUGAUCCGACACAUCCUAGGGCUCUUCCAGAAUGCAAAUUUCUGGGGUCAGAUCAAGCAAUUGCACCUGUCAGAAGAAAUAUGAAUACUAACAUUCACCUCUGGUAAGACUGAAAA